GCGACGUUGAUUCGCGCCACGUAUCCCCACGUCACGUAUUCGUUCGACGUUAUCGAAGGGUAAAAAAAUAACGCGAUUUAAGUUAGCGCUCUGUAAAAUUGGAGUGAAUAUGAGAAUCAUAUCCAAAUUACUAUCCGAACGUUAUCCUCGUUGCGAGGUUAAUAAUAACCCGGGUGAAAGAGACUCCGGUUUCGUAUAACGUACGGCUUAUCUUAUCGUCCGCGUUCUCGCAGUUUUUAGCUACACCCCAAAAACCGAACGUAGUAACGCCAACUGUCUUUCGUUCCCUCCUUUUCUUCUUUCUUUUUUCGUUGUCUCUGCAGUACCGCGAUCCCGAUUUUCGGGUCGUAGGGUGCGUGAAAAUUUCUUCAUCGCGGUGACGGUCGUUAGGCAGCUUGAAUACAAUGUCGAGUUUUAGUCUCGCCUCCUAUAUGCGAGUAACGUUGGUCUCGUUUCUACAUUCCUUAUCAGCUGACCGCAGGGGAAAUUUGAAACCGCGAUUCCCCGCCGCGGUGUAAUUCCUGCACAUUGCACGUUGCGCGUACGUAUGUAUACGCUGUGUGCACAAAUUUCGGUAUACGAUACAAGUUUCAAUAGGUACGAAAUUUAACUUCCACAUCAUCGAGUGCGGAGAAGCGCAAGAGUGCGAAGGGACGCGAAAAAUUGAACGAACUUGUUAAUCCGUCACCGAUUUGAUUAUCCUCCCGGAAUUCGAAAUCGGAAAAUAUCAUUUCCCGAUAUAAUAACGGGGUGAAUAAUUGAAUGACAAUUCUUCACUCCCCCGUGUGCCGUACAUUAAUAUCGAUGUCUAUCUACGGUAUGACUAAUUUUCACGGUUUGUGAACCCCGUUCAUUUAGUGAACACGGUAAAAUCCGGGCGGAGGGUUUUGUACGAUAAAAAUGAAUGCGGGUGGACGGACCUUGUCGUAUAUACCGGAGGACGGGAGGGUGGAAUACUAUGGAAAAAAUAAAUACGAUAUAUGGGGUGCACUGUGGGAAGCCAGAUGACCAGCGGUAAACGGAGAGAAUGGAAGGCCUCGUAGAAGAAAAAAAAAAAAAAAAAAUGAAAAAAAAAAUGAAAAAAAAAAUUAAGAGAAAAUAAGAAGGGAAAAAAGAAGUCGGAUAAUAACGCGUGUGUGUACGCGUAUCUGAGGGUAUAUUUUUUGCCGGAUAAACGGUGGUGCAGUGCUCGGUAUAUGUGUAUCGUAAAUAUACACACACAUAUAUGUAUAGCGUGUUUAAUAGUGUGGGAAGAACCGACCAUCGUCCACUGCACUAUUUAUGAAAAGUCCGACGCGGAGAGGGUGAGCGUUUUUAGAUCCCUUUCGACGAUCGCGCGAGACCCGGAUUCCCAGGGCCUCCCGUCCACGGGGAUAUUCAAAUUCAACUUCCUGCCCCCGCGCACAUUUGUACAUACGUUCGCACACCAUCGAAUAUUUACUCUUCGAAAUUGGGUGCUUUCGAAUAAACCAAUCGCCGAGACACCGGUUUCCACUGAUUUUAGGAUAAGCGCGAUACCGAUCGCGUUUUCGUCAUUUUCUUCGUCGAUCUACCAUCGCGGAGGAGGAAAAAUUUCAGAAUUUUAUCGAGCGCUUCCCGUACAGAUGCGGGGUUUCAAUUAAUAAAUUGAUUAAAGCACGCGUAAUGGGGGAUCGGAAAAAGUGGUUGAGGGGGGGUAGGGGGUAGGGGGGGUAGGGAGAAAGUUGCAUGGUAGCUAUUAGGACGAUAUAGUGGGGGUCGGUUACUCUCCGAUUCCCAUGGACUGUACGGUGCUCGCCGCGCGCUAUGAGGAUAUUCAAAUUUAACUUCCUUCCAGAAAUAAAGCAGCGUAGCUGUAACUCGGAGGUUGAAAUUUUCUAACCGGCGCAAGAGCGGCGCGUCCUAGGAACGGCAGCCGAGAAACGCAGGGAACGGAUCGUCGUCGGUGUGAAACACAUGCGUCCCUCCGACGUGAGCGUGGGGUCAAAGAAAUAUUCGUCUCUCUCGCAGCCCCUAACAGGUGGUUACUGUCUCUGUUUAAAAAUAAAAAUUCCAACCCCGAAUCUCCGUUGCUACGAGAGUGGGCUAGACCGGAGCGAACUAACAAUAAAACUAAAACCGCCGCCGCCGCCGCCGCUUCUUCUUCUUCUUCUUCUUCUGCUGCUGCUUCGGGUUGACGUACACGCUGAGAAGGGACGCCGUUCGUCCCGUCGGUCCGACCGUCCGUCCGUUUGGUACGUCCCCUCCGCGCUCCCCUAUAACCAGAAACUACUCGCGUCUCCCUUCUUGUCCCUCACCUCACCCCGUGCGUCUUGCGUACCAUCCCCCUUUAGGGUUCCUUGAACUCCGAUAAAGGACAAUGACCUUGCCAACGCGGCGGCACUCGGAGUUCAGACUUUGGAAUUUUCCUUUUUAUCUACGAGGAGGUACCGGGAACCGACUCGGAUCGAACGAUAUCCAGAUGUGUGAAAUAGCCGAUUUUUCAUUCGCGUCUUCGAGCAUUUCCAGCGCGAUUUUGUCAAAAUGGGAUUGAAAUUCUGAAAAUUCGCGUCGCCGUCUCACGCUCGUUGUACGAGCGUCGAAAUGUUCCCCCCCCCAUCCCUCGUACGGACGUGUAAUCCAGACUCGACGCAAAAUUAGGAUCGAAUUUCGGGGGCAUUUGAGAGGGUCCAAUUAGCCCUUAUCGCACAAUUUCCUCAAGUAUCGGCAUUAAUAAACUCACCCUUGCCAUAAUUUCUACCAAUCAGUUACCCCAUGCAGGUUUUCCCCCUUUUUUCUGCCUUGCAACGCAAUGAUUUCAAUCACGUGAUGGGAGGUGAUUCGUUUGUCAAAAAAAAAAGAACGACGUUUUAAUCGGUUGAUGGUUUUUUUUUUUAUUCUAUUUUUUUUUUUAUUAUUUCGCUGUGCCCAAAUACGCCCUUUAAAGCGUCAUUUCGUAUGAGGUUAUUAAUGGUUUCGAUUUGUUCGUUUUGAAGCGCGACGCGUCGCAGCAGUUGAUAAGUAAAGUUUAGUGAGCUGACUGACUAGUCAUCGCGCUGCUGCUGCUGCUGCUGUUGCAUUGCAUAGGGGCGCGUUCAAUAACGAUUACAGCAAACUCGGCGGAAAUAGAAACAAUGGAAAAAAGACUAGAAGCGAAUAAAAAAAAAAAGGAGAAAUGAAAGAUAGUGAAAAAACAAAUGGAAAAAAACGCGUCUCGAGGGUCGGUGUAGAGGGAGUAUGCAGAUCCCCACGUGACUCUACAGCUCGAUCUGAGCUUUUGUAACAAUGAGGGAUAGUUGUAUUAUAAGUAUUAAUAAAUCGUGAUUAUCAUCACGCAUCCCGUAUUAUGCAAAGGUGGUUUUCUCCUUCCACUAUUCUUUUUUCACAACGAAAUAAUGUACGGGGUGUUCGGGAGAAAACCGUAUUAACUUCAACAAAAUGAAACGAGUUCAUUCGCAUCGGGGGUUACCUUUUCCUAUGAAUAUUGUUUUCCGACGUUUCACUUCGUUUUUCAACUUGGAAAAUAUUCUAUGAAUAUAAUACAAUAAACAUUUUUGAUAUUUCCGGAUUACGCGAGGAUCGAACAUCACCCUAUGUAUAAUAUUCACGCCGAUUUGUAUACGACGUGUAGGAGCAAAAAGGGAAAAAUAAAAGCAGAAAACGACAAUUUUUCUUCCCCCAUUUUUCACCCCGGUAACCCCUUGUCUUUAUCAUCAUCUUCGACAUCAUCGCGAUACGACUCGACGAGACAGACCCUACUUCACGUACAAGGAACAUGUGUAGUCUUGAAUAUAAUUCGAGAAAAGAAAAGAAUUCGAGAAAAGAAACUGAUCCAUAUGGAGAUUCGGUGAAUAUUCUUGUUUCUUUUUUUUUUUCUUCUAAACGGGGUGCGUGUCAAAAUGUGCGGAAUAUACACAGCUCGCGAAUCGACGCGAUUCUUCGCGUAACAUACGUGGAAAUUAUCGUACACGUUAACUACGUAUUAUUACAAUAUUGUAGAUUGAAAAAGAAAUAUGUAAUUAUUCCGAUACAUAAUAGUCAUUGAAGGACGCGGUGCGGUGUCUCAAGCCGAUCAGGGCCUUGGGCGACGGGUCGAGGUCGUUUUACGAAGGAAAAAAAAAAGGUAAGAUAAAAAAAGUGUAUCAGAUGACUGGAACUGAAAGAUCGGAUGCUUGAAAAGUUGAGUUCCAGUUCCAACUCAAGGGGUUUGGAAAUCGACUCUAUACGCAAUCGAAUGUACGCCCUUUCGAUUUUCGGUGCGUUAAACGUAUAAAGUGAACGAAACAAAAGUAGAAAAUUUUUCAAAUAAAUCACUCCAUAGUUUUCAUCGCCCUUGUUUUUCUCGAAACGUGGUUUCGAUAAUGGAGAUAAACCACCUUUGCCCAAACUCGUUCGCGUGUAUUUCAACUUUAACGCAAUACCGUAUUUUCUUUUUCUCUUUUUCUCAUCCGAUUUUCAAUUUCCCCAUUUCUACGUGUUACAUAGAAUGGUGCAGGCGUACACCCAGAUGUGACCAUCAGCCGGUGGUCAUCGUCCAUAAAAUCCCGCAGGAUUGACUUUUUAAGUGGGGCAGGGGGGUUCUUUGACCGCGGGCGUCGGCGAGACCAAGGAACCGAGAAGCUACAAGAAAAUAGGGAUGGAGUGAAGGGAAUGUGGGGAGGUCUAAAAAUCUAACAAAAAUCACAUGGCCGCAGGGCGACGACCCGCUCAGCCUAUGAAGAAAAAGAUGGAAAAAGGAAAAAGGAGAGGAAAAAGGAUGGAAAAAAAGACGGAUAAAGGAGGACGGAACGGGGGAUGGUAGGGUACGGAGGGAUGGACGUCGUCACGGGGCACGGUCACCGCUCGGUGGCGCGUAAGCACCGCGUAGUUUUCCAUAUACUUUGUACACACCUAUACGCAUAUACACCACACAGGGUCUGCUGGCGCAGUCACGCCGGGGUUACUUUUAUUCCACCCCUCGACCGUGAUGCGUGACCGGUAUAUAUACCAUUCCGUUCGCACCGCGCGCGUUUGUUACCGUCGACGACGACGACGACGACGACGACGACGACGAUGAUGGGAAAGCGGAAGGAGCUCGGGUAACGGCAACAAAAAAUAAAAAAUAAAAUAACAAAAAAAAAAAUAUAACAACUAAACGAGUAAAAAACCAAUUUUAAUAGAAAAUUAAGUGCCACGCUGUAGACGGGGUUAAUCCCGCGGUACGCUCUAUUCUUUUUUUUUCUUCUUCUUCUCCAAAUGGUUUGGGGGUGAUUACAAAAAUUGAAAGACUCUUUUUUACACGCCUCGUGAACAUGUCCGGAUCGGCGUAUAAAUAUGCAUGCACAUCGCGCGCGUGUUUAUAGAAAAAUCACGACGUAAUUACACACCUGCGCUACGAUGGGAAAUGGGGUUGUCGCACGAUUAACGUACGACGACGUUUGUUGAGGGACGUAAACGCCGCGCACGAUGGUCGUAGGUUUUCUGUUUUCUGUUUUUUUUUUUUUUUCCCACCCUGCGGCGAGUACGACGCGUCGGUUCGCGGCGCGGUACCCCUUCAAAAUUCAACCCCUGUACACGCAACGUACGAAGUACCACGAGGUAUAAUAUAUGGGUCGACUCGAUCAAAAAUACUCUUGAAAGGGGACACGACGACUGUAUCAUCGUUAAGUGCGCCACCCAGAAAUACUGCAACAGGUUGUUGUGUACAUACCAUACAUACCGUACAUACGUAAAUACCUUAUACGUCCGCAUAAGCGUGUAUAUAUGUAUAUAUGUAUAAAUAGCACAGCCUUUCGCGCUCAUAUUCAUCGCACAUACACAACCGCUUAUUCGGUACAUACCUAUAUACCAUUUACGUAGACGCGCGCACACACGACGACUACGAAACCUGCGCCAGUGUGUUCCACGGUGUGCACGGAGGUAUAUAAACCGCCAUGGUGGUUGUGCCACUGUUACGAGAGAGAGAGAGAGAGAGAGAGAGAGAGAGAGAGAGAGAGAGAGAGAGAGGGGGAGAGAGGGAGAGGGAGAGAGGAGGGGACCUCUGCCGGUGCUGCACGUUCGUUCAUUCAUUCAUGCGGUCUAAUAUUUGUACAGAAUGUUAUAAGAGAAGGGAAAAGGGGGCGAGGUAGAUGUGGUCGAAGAGGGUGGGGUGCGGCAUGGAAGGGACGGGGAUGAAGGUGGGGGGGAUAGAGCUUUGUGAUUUUAAUGAAUGCUAUUAGGAGAACUGUGCAGGACGAUCAGGUGUACACCUAUAUGUAUGGUAUAAUGUACGGCACGCCGCACGGGGUCAAGUUUUGAAAAAAACCAUCGGGCAGGUAGGUGCACACCAGCGUUCACCCAUACGUUGUACGCAUUGCGUGUGUAUAACGUGACUCGGAUACGCGUUAUACGUAUACGCAUUUACGGAGCUCGCGUUGUAAUACGGAUGCGCGUGUGCAUUUGAUAUCGGGUCGAACGUAUGCGAGAACUAACGCACGGUAACGUAUCGCGCUCGCUCGCUCGCCCGCCCGCCUGCCAAGUGCCAAAGGGCUCUCGCACAAUACCACUUGACUGCUCGAGAGUUUGAAAGGUGGUGGUGCCGUAACAGAAGCAGCAGCAGCAGCAGCAGCAGCAGCAGCAGCAAAAGCGACAGGGCUGGGCAGGGCAUGGCAUG